CCCCCCCGCGCCCCGCCGCCGGGUGCUGUGCAGCGGAGGGGGGCUCCCGGCGCCGCCCGACCCCCGGCUGCUGCCCGACGGCACCGCCACGCUGCUCCUGAGCAACAACAAGAUCACGGUGCUGCAGAACGGCUCCUUCUUCGGGCUGCGGGCUCUGGAGAAGCUGGACCUGAAGAACAACCUGAUCAGCACGGUGCAGCCCGGCGCCUUCCUGGGCCUCCCCGAGCUCAAGCGCCUGGACCUCUCCAACAACCGCAUCGGCUGCCUGAGCGCCAGCGUCUUCCAGGGGCUCUCCAGCCUCCUCCGGCUGUAAGUGGCACCCUGGGGCUCCCGGCCAGCCCCGGGGUCCCCUCCUGGUAUCUGGGGCACAGCCCAGAGCCCUGCUGGAGCAGCAGGUGACACCAGGAGCCUCAGGACAUGGCAAGGGACCCAGGUUUCAGAGGUGUCCAUGGGGUCCCAGUCCCCUCCAUGCCCUCUUU
rnacentral:lncRNA from 1 species